rnacentral:rRNA from 1 species
GACGAACGCUGGCGGCGUGCCUAACACAUGCAAGUCGAACGGAAGUAAGUGCUUCGGUAUUUACUUUAGUGGCGAACGGGUGAGUAACGCGUGAGGAACCUGCCUUUCAGUGGGGGACAACAGUUGGAAACGACUGCUAAUACCGCAUAAGCCCACAGCUCGGCAUCGAGCAGAGGGAAAAGGAGUGAUCCGCUUUGAGAUGGUCUCGCGUCCGAUUAGCUGGUUGGUGAGGUAACGGCCCACCAAGGCGACGAUCAGUAGCCGGACUGAGAGGUUGGCCGGCCACAUUGGGACUGAGACACGGCCCAG